AGAACGAACGCUGGCGGCAUGCCUAACACAUGCAAGUCGAACGAGACCGCUGACUUCGGUUGGCGCGUCUAGUGGCGCACGGGUGCGUAACGCGUGGGAAUCUGCCCUUGGGUUCGGGAUAACAGUUGGAAACGACUGCUAAUACCGGAUGAUGACUUCGGUCCAAAGAUUUAUCGCCCAGGGAUGAGCCCGCGUCGGAUUAGCUAGUUGGUGGGGUAAAAGCCUACCAAGGCAACGAUCCGUAGCUGGUCUGAGGGGAUGAUCAGCCACACUGGGACUGAGACACGGCCCAGACUCCUACGGGAGGCAGCAGUGGGGAAUAUUGGACAAUGGGCGAAAGCCUGAUCCAGCAAUGCCGCGUGAGUGAUGAAGGCCUUAGGGUUGUAAAGCUCUUUUACCGGAUGAUAAUGACAGUACCGGAGAAUAAGCCCCGCUAACCUCCGUGCCCAGCAGCCGC
rnacentral:rRNA from 1 species